GAAUUAAAUCUAUAAAAGAACUGGGGAAUAUGAUGGCAUAAAGGGAUGUAGUUUCCAAAGGUUCAGUGCUACGUCUUGUAGAUUCUAUGACCUGGUUGAAAAUGACAUAUAUGUAUAUGUGCAUCAUCAGAGUAUUAACACUGAGGCAGAUGAGCUCCUAGAGGACGGUCACUCUGCCUGUUUCAAGGACUUGUCAAUGGACUCACCGUAAAAGAGAGUGUGAGUUGGGGAGA